AGGGGAUCUUCGGACCUUUCGCUAUGAGAUGAGCCUGCGUUAGAUUAGCUAGUUGGUAGGGUAAAGGCCUACCAAGGCGACGAUCUAUAGCUGGUCUGAGAGGACGAUCAGCCACACUGGGACUGAGACACGGCCCAGACUCCUACGGGAGGCAGCAGUGGGGAAUAUUGGACAAUGGGCGAAAGCCUGAUCCAGCAAUACCGCGUGUGUGAAGAAGGCCUUAGGGUUGUAAAGCACUUUCAAUUGGGAGGAAAACCUGCCGGCCAAUACCCGGUAGCUUGACAUUACCUUUAGAAGAAGCACCGGCUAACUCCGUGCCAGCAGCCGCGGUAAUACGGAGGAUGCGAGCGUUAAUCGGAAUUACUGGGCGUAAAGCGUGCGUAGGCGGUUCGUUAAGUCAGAUGUGAAAGCCCUGGGCUCAACCUGGGAACUGCAUUUGAAACUGGCGGACUAGAGUUUAGUAGAGGGGAGUGGAAUUUCAGGUGUAGCGGUGAAAUGCGUAGAUAUCUGAAGGAACACCAGUGGCGAAGGCGACUCCCUGGACUAGAACUGACGCUGAGGUACGAAAGCGUGGGUAGCAAACAGGAUUAGAUACCCUGGUAGUCCACGCCGUAAACGAUGUCGACUAGC
rnacentral:rRNA from 1 species